rnacentral:ncRNA from 1 species
CAAAGAUUUGGUCCUGGUUUUUCUAUCAACUCUGGCUUAACUUACACAUGCAAGUAUCCGCACCCCCGUGCGUAAUGCCCUUAGUACUCUGAUUUAGGAUAAGGAGCUGACAUCAGGCACAGUUAUUAUACUAGCCCACGACGUCUAGUUUAGCCACACCCCCAAGGGUAUUCAGCAGUGAUAAAUAUUAAGCCAUAAGUGAAAACUUGACUUAGUUUAAAGCCAAGCCACGGGCCGGUAAAACUCGUGCCAGCCACCGCGGUUAUACGAGUGACCCAAGCUGAUAGACAUCGGCGUAAAGUGUGGUUAAGGACUAUUUUACACUAAAGCCGAAUGCCUACAAAACUGUCAUAAGUUCUUCGAAGGUAAGAAGUUCAUCAACGAAAGUAGCUUUAAAUUGCCUGACUCCACGUAAGCUAAGGAACAAACUGGGAUUAGGUACCCCACUAUGCUUAGCCCUAAACUUUGAUAGCAACUUACAUUUGCUAUCCGCCCGGGUACUACGAGCAAUUGGCUUAAAACCCAAAGGACUUGGCGGUGCUUCAAACCCCUCUAGAGGAGCCUGUUCUGUAAUCGAUAAUCCCCGCUAAACCUCACCCUCUCUGGCCAUCCCCGCUUAUAUACCGCCGUCGUCAGCCUGCCCUGUGAAGGUAAUUAUAGCAGGCUAAAUUAGUAAAACUCAAAACGUCAGGUCAAGGUGUAGCAUAUGGGAGGGGAAGAAAUGGGCUACAUUCUUUAUUAUAAAGAAUACGAAACAUGUAAUGAAAAAUGCAUAAUUGAAGGCGGAUUUAGUAGUAAGUAGAAAAUAGAGUGUUCUACUGAAAAUGGCACUGAAGCGCGUACAUACCGCCCGUCACUCUCUUCCGCCAACCCCUAAUAAUUUCGCAGGUGGUAGGAGAGACAAGUCGUAACAUGGUAAGUGUACCGGAAGGUGUACUUGGAUAAAU